AAUCCCCUAAAUAGGACUGUUGACAGAGUUACAUUGAAGCCGGGAAAAAAGAACGGCAUUUACAGAUGGAAAUUUGAAUUUCCGUCCGUCGUAGACUUCGGGACAUGGACAAUCAUAGCAAGGAUCGGUGGAAUGUUUGAAACGUGGGGCGUAUUUUCAAUCGAAGUACGGGAAUUUGUUCUUCCAACAUUCGGAGUCACGAUAACGCCGUCUCGAACGUACAUACUUCCUUCUGAUGACACGAUACUAGUAGUUGUUAC